rnacentral:rRNA from 1 species
AGAGUUUGAUCCUAGCUCAGGAUGAACGCUAGCUACAGGCUUAACACAUGCAAGUCGAGGGGAAACGACAUCGAAAGCUUGCUUUUGAUGGGCGUCGACCGGCGCACGGGUGAGUAACGCGUAUCCAACCUGCCCACCACUUGGGGAUAACCUUGCGAAAGUAAGACUAAUACCCAAUGACGUCUCUAGAAGACAUCUGAAGGAGAUUAAAGAUUUAUCGGUGAUGGAUGGGGAUGCGUCUGAUUAGCUUGUUGGCGGGUAACGGCCACAGGCGACGAUCAGUAGGGGUUCUGAGAGGAAGGUCCCCCACAUUGGAACUGAGACACGGUCCAAACUCCUACGGAGGCA